CUUCAGCGAGCCCAGCCACAGCGGCUGCGCGCGGCCCCGGCCGUACGUGGCGAUCAGGGCCUGCGCCUC
rnacentral:antisense_RNA from 1 species